AGUGAACGCUGGCGGCAGGCCUAACACAUGCAAGUCGAACGGCAGCACAGUAAGAGCUUGCUCUUACGGGUGGCGAGUGGCGGACGGGUGAGGAAUACAUCGGAAUCUACUUUUUCGUGGGGGAUAACGUAAGGAAACUUACGCUAAUACCGCAUACGACCUACGGGUGAAAGCAGGGGAUCUUCGGACCUUGCGCGAUUGAAUGAGCCGAUGUCGGAUUAGCUAGUUGGCGGGGUAAAGGCCCACCAAGGCGACGAUCCGUAGCUGGUCUGAGAGGAUGAUCAGCCACACUGGAACUGAGACACGGUCCAGACUCCUACGGGAGGCAGCAGUGGGGAAUAUUGGACAAUGGGCGCAAGCCUGAUCCAGCCAUACCGCGUGGGUGAAGAAGGCCUUCGGGUUGUAAAGCCCUUUUGUUGGGAAAGAAAAGCAGCAGGUUAAUACCCCGCUGUUCUGACGGUACCCAAAGAAUAAGCACCGGCUAACUUCGUG
rnacentral:rRNA from 1 species